AACGAACGCUGGCGGCAUGCCUAACACAUGCAAGUCGAACGAGACCUUCGGGUCUAGUGGCGCACGGGUGCGUAACGCGUGGGAACCUGCCCUUAGGUUCGGAAAUACUCCCCGAAAGGGGUGCUAAUACCGGAUAAUGUCUUCGGACCAAAGAUUUAUCGCCUUUGGAUGGGCCCGCGUUGGAUUAGCUAGUUGGUAGGGUAAAAGCCUACCAAGGCGACGAUCCAUAGCUGGUCUGAGAGGAUGAUCAGCCACACUGGGACUGAGACACGGCCCAGACUCCUACGGGAGGCAGCAGUGGGGAAUAUUGGACAAUGGGCGAAAGCCUGAUCCAGCAAUGCCGCGUGAGUGAUGAAGGCCCUAGGGUUGUAAAGCUCUUUUACCCGGGAUGAUAAUGACAGUACCGGGAGAAUAAGCUCCGGCUAACUCCGUG
rnacentral:rRNA from 1 species